rnacentral:rRNA from 1 species
UGGGGAAUAUUGGACAAUGGGCGCAAGCCUGAUCCAGCCAUGCCGCGUGAGUGAUGAAGGCCUUAGGGUUGUAAAGCUCUUUUAUCCGGGACGAUAAUGACGGUACCGGAAGAAUAAGCCCCGGCUAACUUCGUGCCAGCAGCCGCGGUAAUACGAAGGGGGCUAGCGUUGCUCGGAAUCACUGGGCGUAAAGGGCGCGUAGGCGGACAUUUAAGUCAGGGGUGAAAUCCCGGGGCUCAACCUCGGAAUUGCCUUUGAUACUGGGUGUCUCGAGACCGGAAGAGGUAAGUGGAACUGCGAGUGUAGAGGUGAAAUUCGUAGAUAUUCGCAAGAACACCAGUGGCGAAGGCGGCUUACUGGUCCGGUUCUGACGCUGAGGCGCGAAAGCGUGGGGAGCAAACA